rnacentral:rRNA from 1 species
GGCCUAACACAUGCAAGUCGAGGGGUAUGCUUCUUCGGAAGUAGAGACCGGCGCACGGGUGCGUAACGCGUAUGCAAUCUACCUUUUACAGAGGGAUAGCCCAGAGAAAUUUGGAUUAAUACCUCAUAGUAUAGCAGUUUCGCAUGAAACCACUAUUAAAGUCACAACGGUAAAAGAUGAGCAUGCGUCCCAUUAGCUAGUUGGUAAGGUAACGGCUUACCAAGGCUACGAUGGGUGGGGGUCCUGAGAGGGAGAUCCCCCACACUGGUACUGAGACACGGACCAGACUCCUACGGGAGGCAGCAGUGAGGAAUAUUGGACAAUGGGCGCAAGCCUGAUCCAGCCAUGCCGCGUGCAGGAUGACGGUCCUAUGGAUUGUAAACUGCUUUUAUACAGGAAGAAACACUGGUUCGUGAACCAGCUUGACGGUACUGUAAGAAUAAGGAUCGG